CUGCAAGUACCGGACAUCCAAGGCCAAAACCUGAAGCAUGCAAGUGAGAGAGGUCAAGUUUUAACCAAAGGACUGCAUUGAGUCAAAUUAUAAAACAGUUACAGAGCAGUUUAUACCAGCGGUUGCUUAAAAGAGAGUUAAAUUUGAUCAAGGGUAUCUUUUACAGAGCAUUCAAUUUACUCCCCCACCGUGUUUAAGCACAUAGUGCGAAACUUGGGAAAGGAGGCAUUAAUGAACGGUGUACACUGCAAGAAAUAUGUUGAAGCUGGAACUUAGUAGCCAAUAAAGGGGGACAUGGGGGAGGUUGCUUUGUAUCUAAUGGGAUCUGAAUGAUUGGACACGAUGGUGGGUGACUUGCUAAACUAUCAUCAGACGAACAACUAUAGUAGAUUCGCUUUCCAAGUGCCGCUGGAGCUCUCUGUCAUUGAUAAAAAUCAUAUUUGGUGGACCGAUGCUCUCAACUUCAUGCCAGUAUCCUUUC